UACGGAGGAGGCAAGCGUUAUCCGGAAUUAUUGGGCGUAAAGCGUCCGCAGGUGGCAAUGUAAGUCUGCUGUCAAAGCGUCUGGCUCAACCAGAUAAAGGCAGUGGAAACUACAUAGCUAGAGUAAGGUAGGGGCAAGGGGAAUUCCCAGUGUAGCGGUGAAAUGCGUAGAUAUUGGGAAGAACACCGGUGGCGAAAGCGCCUUGCUGGGUCUGCACUGACACUGAGGGACGAAAGCUAGGGGAGCGAAAGGG
rnacentral:rRNA from 1 species